AGACAUCACCAGCUUCAGGGUGAUCAAGAAUGCCAUGAUCCUGGUUGGAGUAUCAUCAUUGCAUCUCGGUGGGUUGAAACUCAUGACGGACUUCAAUUUAGGAGGACUCAAGGGUGUAGUUUUUGUCAGUGGUGAAGCCUUACGGUCCUCACUU
rnacentral:snRNA from 15 species